GAGCUCACUUCAAUAGUACAUAUGCUAAAUUGGAACUAUAGAGAUUUAUAUGGCCCCUGCUCAGGGAUGACACAAAUUUGUGAAACAUUUUGUGGCUUU
rnacentral:snRNA from 1 species